rnacentral:rRNA from 1 species
GAGUUUGAUCGUGGCUCAGGGUGGUAGGAACAUUGAGGCUGGGGCCGCCUGAGGCUUUGGCAUGAGGCUGGGGGGCUGAGGAGAGAUGUGAAACAGUUACACCGGGGGUGAAGGUGUCAGAGAGGCCUCUCAGUUUCAGCUUGAGUCGGCAAGGCAGGCCAUGUGGUGGCUGGUGGGGAAGUCACCACUGCCCCAGGCCAGAGAGGAUUGCCUCUGAGCCAGAGAUGUCCAGGGCUGCCUCUGAGAGAGGUACAGGUGGGAGUGGACACGGGCAGGUCAACCACUGUCCCUGCCCCAUGACCCCGACACAGGUCAGAUGACCCAGAUGUGGGGGCCAGGGCAGGAGCAGUUGAGGGCCAGGCUAUCAGCUGAGUCGAAAGUUGGGACCCC